GGCGGGUCUCGUGUGAUGCACCCCAGAAUCGGGCUCCCUCCUCUCUGGUUCUGGGCUACAUCACCUGAGAACCGCC
rfam:Myotis brandtii contig320616, whole genome shotgun sequence.